AAAACCCCACAGGAGCAUGCAAGCCUUGAACAUACGAAUGCACACACUUGCCUUCUUUAUCUCCUCAGCAAGGACAACAGAAGGGAAAUCAAGCAAGCGAACUAGAGCUUUUGAAAGAAGUCGUAAAUGUGCUUACUGAUCUCUUCAGGUUUCUCUUCAUUGAUAAAAUGACCCACACCUUCCAUUACAACUAGGUCAUGUAGAAAUGGAACGUCUCUUUUGAACCCGCCCUUGGCUAUAUGAUCCUUGGCACCGAGAGAAUUAUAGGUGAGGUCCUGAUCACCCACGAUAAACUUGACUGGAACUUUUAUUUGAGCUCCAGUCCAUGGUGCGGUAAGUUCCCAGUUCCUGCAACAUGGAAGGUAAGAGGAAUUAGGAAAAAAAUUGAAGCAGGAAUGAUGAUGGGGAAAAAAGGAAAUAAAACUUGUACACCGAUCAGGAAAGCAACAAAAGCAAAGGUCUUCAUUUCAAGAGCUAUAUAGCAUGCUGAAAUAUUAAGACUCCUGGGUAUGGAUUUCAAUUCAAUUUCUUAAUGAAAGAUAAUAAAGUCCCUCUGUCCCGAUCAAUACGCAACAGCGACAUAAUACGCAACAGCGAUGUAAAGGUAACGAAAACCCCAAAAUACAACAGAGGUUGGAGACACAUCUAAAUUUCCAGGCCACAGGAAAUUUUUAGUCUGCAUUACCAGGAAAGACCAACAAACUGAACAAACAUGGAAGGAAGACAUACCGGUCAAGAUUUCGGUAAUAGUUCAAUCCUCCAGUAAAGCCUUUCUGCUCAUACUUGCUGGAGUAGUACUUGACAUCUUCUUCAGACAACCAAGAGGGUAAGACAACUGGAGUGUCCAGAGGCUUUCCAUUAAACCCUUGGCCUUUAGGUAAAAAGAGAGGAGCUGGAGUGCGGUAGGUUAAGAAUUCCUUGAGAACUUUCUCUGUACCUAUCUCUGCAAACUCAGCUUCAAUCUCUCCAGGCUCCUACAAAAACAAUCGAGCAGUUCCUCAAUUAAAAUGGGUUUUGUACAUCUUCAGAAGAAGACAAUUGUGAUAAACUAUAGAAGACCAAAAUUAAAAACUUUCUCAAGUGUGCCCAAGAACAGUUAGAUAACAAAGUUGCCUGAUGCCAUGAAUGAUUAUUUAAGCUUCAGCUAAAAUUAUACUGUUAAAUAAUCAUUUCAGCUAGAACAGCUGGUCAAAUUCGUAGCUACUACCUAAUUACUACCAAAAAGCCCAAUAUAAUCCAUCCCAAUCAAAUAAUCACUGCAAAUAGUAAACAAAAUAUAAAAUUGAUGAUAAUCCAAUUCCUAUACUACAUAAAGGGUCGAAGAUUUAUUAGCAUAACAAUCAAAAGUCUAAAACUUGAUGAUUAAACACUUCAUGUAACAAAAGAAAAGAUAGGUCAAUUAAAAAAAACAACUGCAAAUGCCUGAUCUUUUCAUACCUGUCAAAUGAUCCCUUCAAAUAGUAAACAUGCCUACAAAAUCUACUAACAUAAUCCAUGUAAUCCAGAAAAGGCGAAAGAUUUGCUAGAACAAGUUUACAAUUUGACAUCACAAAACACAGUAUGCAGUCAAGAAAGUAACUUUGAUUCUGAAAAUCAAGAACCCAUCAUUAAAAUAACAAUAAAACAAACCUGGAAUCUGAUAAUAUAAUAAUCGUCACCAUAAACAGCCUUCAAAGUCGCAAUAACUUUCCUACUGGGAUUCCUUGGAUUAAACAAAACACUCAAGUUAACCAAAGCUUUAACUCUAUCUGGUCUAAACAAAGCCAAAUGCCAAGCCAUCAAAGCACCCCAAUCAUGUCCCACAACAAAAACACUCUCUUGAUUCGGAGCAACAACAUCAAGCAACCCAAUCAAAUCACCAACCACAUGGAGAACGGUGUAACUUGUAACCUCAGCUGGCGCAUCUGUGUCACCAUACCCUCUCAAGUCCGGUGCCACAGCUCUGUAGCCAAGUGAGGAUAGAGCCUCAAUCUGGUGUCUCCAGGAAUACCAUAGUUGAGGGAAUCCAUGGAUGAAGAGAAUAACUGGGGCAUUCUCUGGACCUUUGAUUGCUACAUGAAUAUUAAUGCCAUUGACAUUAAUGGUUCUGUGUUCUAUGGAGGAGGCCAUGGUUUCUGUGCUUGUGUUCAGAGUUGUGGGUUGGGGUUUUUUAGGCUUUGCAAGAUGACAGUUUAAACUUUAACUAGUUUGGUGAGACGAUGCGUAGGAACAUUAAAUAAAAAUUAAAAAAUAAAUACUACAAAUGAUGUUAGCAAUGUUAUUAGUAUAUGACGUCAUUUUAACGUAUUAUGCUCUGUUUUUUGCAAGUGGUUUUUAGAAAAUUAUUUUUUAAAUUUUUUAUGUUUAUUUAUUAUUAGAAAAGUUUGCUAAUGAAAAAUAUGAAAACACCUUCCAGUCAAAGAAAAAUUUGGCUUGGUUUCCAGGAAAGUAUUUUCUUUUUAUUUUAAACGAAAAAUAUUUUCCGGAAAUUGUAAAAAAUUUAGAAAUGUCAUAUUAUUUGCUGAUUAUAUCAAAUUUGGUCCUCAAACUUUUGAUUGCUAUAUAUAUUUUGUUUUGAAUAUUUGUUUUUUAAUUUCAUCCCUUAGAAUUUAAUUUUUAUAUUAAUUUUGAUCCUCAUUUUUAUAAUUGUUAUUUGUUUUUCCCUUACCAUUUUUUAAUUGAAAUUUUUUAUCUAUCAAAUUUGGUCCUCAUUAUUUUAAUUAUUAUUUAUUUUAUUUAAAAUAAUUUAUGAAAUGUUAAUUAUUAUUAUUUUAAUUUCUUCAUCUUUUAAUUUUUUUUUUAGAUUUGACCUCUAUUAUUUUGAUUAUUAUUUAUUUUAUUUGAGAUAAUUUAUAAAAUUAUAUUUUUUUUUCAAUUUCAUUCUCAUUCAACUUUUUAAUUUGUAAGAUUUGUUCCUCAUUAUUUUAAUAAAUUUAAAAAAAUAAAAUAUUAAUAAGUUAUUUUCCAACUUAUUUUCCAUGACAUAACCAAACACUGAAAAAUAUUUUCCAACUUAUUUUUCAUUACACUACCAAACAUAAAAAUAUAAUUCACUUUUCUGGAAUUCACUUUCCAAAAGAAACUACUUUCCAGCAAAUAAACGAGGCCUAAGAUUAUUAGGAAUUCCAAUUAAAAGAUUAACAUUGAAAAUGAUUUUCUUAUUUCGAUAUUUUAUUUAUUUUUCUAAAUAUAUUAUAUUUAAUAAGAAACUAAAUCAUGAAUUAAUGUGUAAAAUCUAAAAAUACCAAAUUAAAGUAAUGAUGGGAAUUAGACUCGAUCAUACUUACUUAAAGUUGUAGGGUUUUUUUUUUAAUUUUUUUCUAUGAGUAAUAAAUAUUAUUAAAUUAGACUCAAAAUAUGUACAUUUAUAUCAUAUACAUAUGCUAGUAGAAUAUUUGUAUUUUUAAAAUAUAAUAUAUAUAUAUAUAUAUAUAUAUAUAUAUAUAUAUAUAUAUAUAUAUAUAUAUAAUCUUUUCAUUUAAAAUAUGUAUACAUGUAUAUUAAUUUUAUUUUAUGUUGAACAAUAAUAGUACUUAGAUAAUGAAAACACUAAACUUUAUAGAUAGAAAUAAAUUUCUAAAUUUAUCAAUGAAUAUAAUUUAAUAAAUUAUUAUUUUAAAUACUAAUUUUUUUUAAAAAAAUAAGGAUAAAAUUUCUUUUUAAUAGCUCAAUCCUUGAAGUAUAAUCAGUCUCAAGCUUUUUCUUGGUGGAUGACGAUCAGAGAGAGUGGAGAGGAAAAGAGAUAAGGAACAUUGCAUUAUUGAAUUGAACGUGACACACGAGAGAGUCCAAAAGUCCAUUUUGGUCCUUUCAUGUUUCUUAAUGUGUCGGUUUGGUAUCAUUUGUGGUUUUUUUUUUACGUGCUCUAAAAAGAGAAUCUAAGUCAACAGAUUACUAAGCAUUAUGUGCAAAGCGUUAAUUUUAAUGGAAACAAUUUACAGGCAAGUAUGUUAAAAAAAUACAAAUAAAUUAAAAAAUAUAAUUCAUUUUUUUUAUUUACAUAAGAACACGAUUAUAAAAAAUAUGUUAUAGACUUUGUCCUUUCGUUUUCUCUUGACAAAAAGAAAGGGCCAUAUUAUGAGAUGCUUUGAGAGGGUUGAUUAUUUAGGUUCGAUUUGGUUUUUAUCAAAAAAAAUAACCGGUAUCGGUUCGGUUCGGUUCUGAUUUUUUUGACAAAAACCAGUUCAAAGCGGUUUGGCUUAGUUUUUUUAGUUUGGGAUCGGAUCGGAUCGGUUUGGUUUUUUCAGUUUCAGGCUUAUAAAAUCGAAACCUAACCGAAUCGGUCGGUUUUUUUAAAAUUUUAAUCGGUUUUUUCACGAUUUGAUUUUUUUAUUUUUUUUUUCAAUUUUCUUAAUUUAAUCAGUUUUUUUAUUCACCCUCUUUUGUCAGGCCUUUUAAUUUGGAUCGUUGCUUUCCUUUUGGAUUGAAGCAAACUAUUCCUUUGGAAAAACAGCCUUUCUUUUAUCUUUAUGUGUGUGUUUUUUCCUUUUAAAUUCUUUCGAUUUUGCCCAUAUACGCACUGCAAAUUGGAUUAAUUUUUUUUCAAUGGUAAAAAAAAAAAUAUUAAUGAGUUUUCAACGUGUUUUCUAGCAUUAAGAAAAAUUUUAAUUGUAAAAUAAAAAUCUGAUUUAAGUUAACUUGAUUUCUUGAUUGGAAUAAGAAAAUAUCAUAUAUGUUUCUAUUUCUUAAUUCAAAUUUGACCUUGAAUGAUUUGUAUUAGAUAGUAUAAAUGAAGUUAAAUGGCAAGUAAUUAAAUGAAAUUAUCAGCUUUACAAUUGAGGGAAAUAUCAUAAUUGUUGAAUUCAAUUUGAAUUAAAUGAUUUAUAUUAGGUAAAAAAUAAGAAAUAAAAAUACGUAGAAAAAUAAGAAAUAAAAAAGGGUUAAUUUAUUUCUAUUUUUAUCAUGUACUAUAUCAUGACUAUUUAAUUUAAAUUUAAUAAUUCAAAUGCAAUAAAUAAGAUUGUAUAUUUUAUUUUAUUUUUUCAAUUCAUCAAUUCACAUUAAAUUAUUUGUCUUUAAACUUUAUAAUUUUUUUUCACUUUUCUUACUAUUUAGUUAUUCUGAGAGCGGGUUGGUAAAGUUAACUCGGAUUGACUCAAGGUUUUUUUAACUUUUUUUUAAUUGAACUUUAGUUUUUUUACUAUGUCAUCCUUUUAAAAUUCAUUUUUUAUGUUGAUCUCAUAUCACGAGUUGUUGGUUCAUCAAGUUACUCCGAGCUGGCUUAGAUUGGCUCAGUGAAAAAGAUAACUCUCUUUUUUUGUUUUUUUUUUUUUAUGCAUUUUCCCCCUCAUUUUAAUAUUAAAAAAAAUUCAUCUUGAUUUUUAAAAAAAUAUAACACUACCAUGUUGUGUUGUCGGAUGCUUGUACAAUUUUGCAGGCUUUCUAUUUUGGAUAGACGCAAAAGCUUACAAGUGGACCAUCCAUGCAUUAACAGCCUUUCUUUUUCCUUCACGUCCCUUUCGUUUUGGCCCACGAACAUAAGAUUCGAUCGUGAGAGUCUAGGCAAUGGCAUUUCUUUCAUGAACACUUUUGUUUUCAGAAAUUCUCACACAAAACUUGUUCAUUGAACAAGAAUUAUUUUAAUACAUUGAUGUUGUAGAUUUCACAAGAGUAAUUGUUCCAUGCUUCGCUAUGGGUCAUACCAAAAGACAAUUUAAACCAUGAAAAAUUUGCAUUCAUUGUUAAUAUAUUUUUUAUUUGAAAAUAAAAUUUUAAUUAUAAACUCAAAAUUUAUUCUAUACAAAGUAGAUUUUUUGAAAAUAUCUGGACGAUAACAUCUUUAAUUAGCUUAAUCCAACCUAACAUAUCCUGACAAACUAGUGACUUGGAUUAUGGUGUCGACUUGGUCUAGUAACAUUGUUUUUCAGUUUUUUUUUUAAUUAUAUGACAAUAAAAAUAUAUGCUAUUAGAAAAACAAUAUGAUAAGAUUUUUUUUAAAAAAAUAAUGAUGAGUUGUAACCCAAACUUGCUAAUAUUAUAAAAAUAUUGUUAUACUCUUAUUUAAAAACAAAAUAAAAAAUAAAUGGUAUCUAAUAAAAUAACAUCUAAAAUAUAUUCUUAAUUGAUUUAAGAGUUUAAUAAAUUAAUAUAUUUUAAAUUAAUUAAUUAAUUGUAAAAAAUGUAAAUUCAAAUUAAUUAAAAACAAAACUGUUCAGACAUGUGAGCUUGAUUAAAUUAAAAAGCCUAGGCAUGCUAGAGCUUUGUUUAUUAUUAUUUUUUUCAUAGGUUGUUCACUCCUUUUUUUUAAUUAAAUAGGUGGCACUUGUAGUGGUAGAUAACUUGUCACCUGAUUUUGCCCAAACUCUAGUAACCACUAUGGUAACUAGAAAAUCGAGGGUAAGGUUUUUUCUCUAAAAUCCUUAUUUCAAUUCAUUUUCACCAAAAAAAAACAUAUCAAACACACCAUACAAAACUAAUACAAACUGCCCUACAAUUGCAAAAUAUCCCAAAAUAACUAAAAAAAUCAACUAAAUCUCAAAAAUCAAAACCGAACUUGAUCUAUCGAUCUCAUAAUGUUUAGAGAGAAAAACCAUCACCAUCAAUCUCCUCUAAUCAAAUAGAACCUUUUGACACCAAACUUGAUAAUUUUGGUUGUUAGAAUCAUGACAAUUAACAACUUCCUCUCUCUAUUAUUCUUUUUCGACGAGCUUCUCUCUCCUCUCUCAAACACAUAAACUAAAAAAUAAACAAAAUAAAUUUUUUAUCAAAAUAAAAAUUGUUGUGAAUUUGGAGUUAGCCAUAUAUUUUUUUCUAUGCUUUAGAUUUUAGUCUUUUAUUUUUUAAUGUGAUAUUUCUACCAUAAUUUCAUCUAAUUAGACUAUAGAAAGGUUCUAUGAAAAAAAUCAAAACUAAAAAAAAUAAAAUAAGUGUUUCAUUAUUCAUAUAAACAAUAGCGCGCAUCUAGUUGUUUUAGUUUUUGUUAUAAUUUUGUACAAGUGGAUGACACAAUAAUCAAAACAAUAAUAAUUCCUUGAAUUGUUGUUGGAUUUGGAUAUGGAUUGGGGUGUCCAUGAUGGGUAAGCUCGUGUUCAAAAAUCAUUUUAAGAAAAUUUAAAACUUUAUUGGAUUUUUUUUUAACUAGUAUUAUAAAACUCUAUCAAGUUUGGUGGGUCAAGUUCGAUACAUAACAUAAAUUAGGUUUUAAAUCAAAUCAGAUAAAAAAUUAAUUUAAUUAAACCCAAUUAACCAAAUAAAUUAAUAAAUAAUAACUGAGACUUAGUUUGACUUAAAUAAAUAUUUUAAAUUUAUAUUAUUGACGUGGGUUCGCUAUCAAAUGAAUGGUGGAAAAGUGUUUUUUUUUUUUUUUUUCAUUUGUGAUUUAACCAAACUCACGACCCUCUUUUGAUAAGGUAACUUGUAAUGAACCUCACACCCCCCGAACAAAUUAAGUCACCCGUGGUUGCCCUUUCGAUAAAAAUCCCAAACAAUACACAUACGAUUUUAGUGCCUAAUCUAUUGUGAAGGACAAACUAAUUCUAGCUCUCACAAUUUCAAGCUUUUAGGUCAUUAAAGUUCAUCGACUCUUUCACUAAACGGUCCCCUCUCCAUUCUCAGUUAUUAUUCACUGAUCUCCAUAGGUUUAAAAAGGUUUUUGCAAGAAAAAUUAAUGGAGUUGGUUACUCUUGGACUAAUAAUACUCAGCUAUGUUACUAUAAUUAUGUAUAUGGACAAAUUAAAAUACAAGGAUCUGAUAAUUAAAGUUUAAGGAUACGGCAUGAAAAAUAUAGCAAAUAUAAAAAUUCAACCACCUUUGAGAAGCCAUUACUUUUUUUUUUUUUAUGGGAAUAACUUGUCAAAGAAUCAAUUCAACCCAAUAGCUUAAGCUGUUAGGUGAGAUUCCAGGAUAUGAUUUAUAUUAUUCUCUAAUAUACCCCCUCAAGUGAAAGCUCUUUGGGCUUGAAACUUGCACAGGCCCACAUUACCUUGUGCUUAAUGUUUAUCAAAUAAAUAGGGAUUGUGAGAUUUGAACUCGUGACCGCUUGGUUAUCAAGACUCUGAUACCAUGUCAAAGAACCAAUUCAACCCAAUAACUUAAGCUGUUAGGUGAGAUUUCAUUAUAUAAUUUAUAUUAUUCUCUAACAGGAUCAAUGGUUCUGGACUAUAUAAUUGAAAUAAUCAUUUCUUAUCUUAUUCAUUUUUUAAUGUUUGAACUUGAGGCUGAACUUUUGAGCCUGUUUUUUUUUUUUUUUUUGUAUUUUAAAAGUGCUGUUGAAAAUAUUUAAAUUUUUUAUUUUUUUAUUUGCUUUAAAUUAUUUUUUUUAUGAUUUUAAAUCGUUUUAAUGUGUUAAUGUUAAAAAUAAAUUUUAAAAAAUAAAAAUAAUAUUAUUUUAAUACAUUUCUAAAAUAAAAAUAAUUUAAAAAAUAAUUAUUACUAUAAUUUCAAAAAAUCAGCUAUUAAUGAAUAUCUCAAACAUUAAUUGUUAGGCUUUCCUUAAAGGACACGAAUUGGACUAAGCUGGAAGAGGUAAACCAAUUGCUAAUCUUGAUUAUUCUUGUAAAUAUUAAAAAUAAAGAUAUAAAUAUAAAUUUAUUUAUGGGAAAGGUAAGCUUUUAAACUGUGUCCAUAUGUAUAAAUCCUAAUAAAGCAGACCCUCACCCCUGAACAUAUAUAUAUAUAUAUAUAUAUAUAUAUAUAUAUAUAUAUAUAUAUAUAUUUUAAGAGUGUAGUUAUUGUUAUUUUUUAAAGUAUUUUUUAUUUGAUAUCAAAGCGCAUUAAAAUGAUUUAAAAACAUCAAAAAAAUAUUAAUUUAAAAUAAAAUUUAAUUUAACUUUUUUAAAAAACACUUUUAAAAUACAAAAAAAUAAAUAAAAAUAUAUUCCACAACAGAGUAGUUGACUACGCUCACGAACAAGCAUGCAGAGGCGAGAAGCAUUAGCUCAACCUGUGGUUCUUAAAGGCAUGGCUCGCAAUGUCUGACUACUCUCACUGCUCAUGAGCGCCGAUGAGGGAAAAUGCUUCGAUCAAACUUGUCCGUCCAUGGUCGAACCGUCUUCCCUGCUGCAAUCUUGCUUAGUAAGCCUCUCGCUGACUCGACAGAUUUAAAAGGAAGAGGAGGGGCAGUGUGAAUCUCCAAACUGAACGAUCCACAAAAUGAAUGGCCGUGGAAAGAUUUAUAUCAUAGCGUGCAUUAUGCUUUGAGCAAACAAUGCAGGAUUUGAUUUGACUUUUGAGGGCAUAGGAAAAUUACAAGGACCAGUUCCUUGACUCGUCAGGAUAAUGCUUGAGAAAAUGCAAGAUCUUACACAAACAAGAAAUAUAGGUAAUUUGCUUAUCUUCUAAGAUCCGAUGAAAAAGUUAACCCGCACCCCCCCGGAGUCUUGCAUCCGGCACUGGCUCUUAGCUGACCUGGUCAAGGCUGACAGUAUACCUUCUUUGCAUUAAUUAUUGAUAGUAUUUUAAUUUAUGUCCUUUGCUUAUCUUCUAAGAUCUGAUGACGGCAAAGAGAUUUUGUUUCCUAUAAAAAAAGGCUUCAAUUAGUCAACUCUAAUUGAAUAUGGUUUCCACUUUAAAAUUAGUAGAAUUAACUUUUUCAUAGUAAAAGAAAUUAAAAAAAAUAUUACCCCCUCGUUUUAACGACUAGACUCCCUCUUUUAGAAGAAAGAUUAUAUUUUUCUGUGACUAAUAAAACCUUGUCUCAUUUUUUUUUAUAUAGAAAAACUUAUGUUUUUUUUUUUUAAAAAUUCAUGUCUUUUAUGUAUCAAUAGAUUUUUGUAAUAAAUUACAUGCUUACGAAUAUUUUGCUUGAUUUUUUUCUAGUACCAAAAUAAAAUAGGAUUGAAUGAAAUGAAUGAUUUCCAAACUUACUCUUUUUAAUACUAAAUAGAUACUUUGCUUAUUUUUUCCACAAUUCAUUAUACUCACAAGGAUUAUUGUAUAAUCUUAUAGUUGAUAAUGUUUUAAAAUCUAAAAUAUAUAAAUAAAAAGUUAUUUAGUGUUGAGAUAGUAGUUAAUCAACAUAUUCACGUAUGUGAACUUCUUCUUCUUAAUCUAAGAAAUUCCAGGCUUACAAUAAAAAUUUUGAGUACCUGCAAAAACAGUUAUAAUCGGGGUAGACACCAAGACCCUCUUAUAAUAAAGUUAGUAUUUUUAAGGAAAAUGUAUUAAAUAACUUAAAAAAGCCUUAAUAAGAUGUUUGUUUUUGAGUUUUUAAGUUUGUUAAUACUUUAAAAUCUAAGUAUUUUUAUCUUAAGAGAUAAGAAGUUGUGAAACCUUUACCUAAAUGGUUCAGGGAGUAUUUAUACCCCCUGAACCUUUUUGUUUCCAUGAAAAAGAGAGCCGGAAAGUCUUUCAUUUUCGACAUAUUAAUAAGAAGCAAAUAUCUCUUACAUAUCAUUAAUAAGAUAAUAAGUAUGGUAGGUCCUUUAAGUGACCUUAUAUACACUUAUAAACAAAAGGAAAUUAUUAUCUUAAUAUGAAUAAUUAUUCUAGAUGGAGAGGUAUGAUGAUUUAUUAUGUCUUUAACACUUAUACUAUAGAGAAUUGUCUAGGAUCAAGUAUAAGGCCUUAGAAUUUAAUAAUGUCAAAGUUUUUUGAAUCUGAGAUGUUUGUCAGACUCAUGUUACCUUGAACUUGGCGAACUUUCAUGUGAAACCCGAGAACAAAUUAUACCAAAAAAGAAAAAACAAAAAAGAGGGGGGGUUUAUAAUAAUUUAAAUUUUGUUAUAAUACAAAAUAAUGUAACUACAAAAAAAAAAUGGCUUAAUUAAGAAAAAGGAAGAAAGAUGGAGCCAAAAUGGAAUUAAGAAGAAAUGGGACUAUAAAUACCCAUUCCUUCUCUCGCCCAUGGCCGGCUGAUAACAUCAAAAAGAGGGGGGGGAGAAUUUCAGAUUUUUCCUUCAUCAAAUCUAAGAGUAAAUACCCAAAUUAGUAUACCCACACAAGCCUUGAAAUUAUUAAGUGGAGGAAACACAUUUGGGUGGAGAACUAACAAGAAGAAAAGUGAAGAAUUGGUGAAGAAAAGAGGGGGAAGAGUGGCCGACUAUAUGCAAGGAGAAGAAGGCUAAGAUUCUUUUUAAAUUUUGUGAAGUAAAGCUUAGAUUUCAUCCAAGUAAGGAGUUCUAAUUUCAAUUUCUAUGAAAUUUACUUCAAUUUGAUUGGAAGUUUCAUAAUUUUCUUGAAUUGAGAAUUAGGGUUCUUGAACAUAAAAUUUAGGCAAAAAUGCAAAAUUUCUUGAAACUAUACCUAUUAGGGUGAUAGUAAUGGCCUUGAAUGUGGAGGGGUGCAAUGGAAGGAAAAAGAAGAAGAAGAAGAAGAAAGAACAGAUUUAAGGAGCGGCCACUAGAGGGGAAGAAAAAUAGAGGAGGAGAACUUAUGACUUCCUUGUUAAUUAAUUGAGAUGUGUUGUUAUAAUAUAGUUACUAAUUAUAACUUGUAAGGAAGAGGAACCUUCGUUCCUUUGGGUAGGUUCGGCCAAAGUAGAAAUCAACUAAUUAACUUAGUACAAAUGACCUUGGGAGGUCAUAAAGAGAUAGGUUACCAUGCAUAAGGUGAAGGCAUGGCUGUAUCUGAUGAGGAAGUAGGAUUAGAGAUAAAAUUGGAAAUACUUGUCCAUUGAUGAAAACAGGGUAGGUUCGCCACCUUGAUUCCUGAGGGAAUUCGGACAUGAAAAUGAUAGAAUCCAGGGAGGGUCCCUUCAUAGAAGUUGUAUCCGGGAGUGUUAGCUUUCCAACAAAUCUGACCGUGCCUAAUUUGGAGUCCUAGAACUCCAGAUAUGAAUAAAAAUCUGAAGGGAGGUCGAGCUGUCGCCCUAUUGGCAGAUUCGGCCAAGUCGAUAAAACGAUGAAAUUUAGCCAUAUUAAGGGUAGAGUUUGUUUUCUUACCCUUCAUAAAGUGUGUAACAUCGUGUCUUGAUCUUCAAAAAGGAACAACCUAUGAUCAAAAUUGAAUUGAAAAUGUUAAAGGAUAAUAAAGAGGAAUGUAGGUGAGAAAGAAAAGAAUGGUAAAAAAGAAAUGAAUAUUAUUGCCAUUGUUGCUGUUGUGUUGUGACAUGUGGACUAAUAUGGAAUAAUGAUUGGUGUUUGUCGUUUCAGGAGGAACCGCGGGAGGAGUGCAGCAACAACAAGGGAACACAAGUCGAGCGUCUACAGCAGGUAGGUACUCGGUACCUAUAUCUCAUCUAGUUAAUAAUUAUUUUAACUAAUUGUUGAACUAUAAAUUUUGGUGCUUAUUGAUGAGGAAAAGAAAAGAGGAAAAGGAAAGGUUAAACGACAGGAAAAUGGAAACGGAGAACUAGAUUUAAUUUAUGGGUUCUUUCGGAGAAAAUGGACAGUAACAAUGAACUUUAGGAAUGAUUGUUCCGUAAAUUUGAUUAGCCUAUCCUAGAUACGAGAGGCUAAUGAUGUUAGCCAAGUUGGCUAACAUCGGCAUGACCGGUACAUGGGAGGAGAAAUAUAGAACUUGAUUAACUAUUCGGGUUCAGAAUAGUUAAUGAUAUCGGCAGGAGACGUCGAUGUCGGCAAAAUUUAUGGGACUUGAUUAACUUUCCGAUGUGAAAGCCAAUGAUGUCAAGAAUCCUUGACAUUGGCAUACCCGAGGACCUCCCAAGGUAACAUGGAACAUUGAUUAACUAUUUAGGCCCGAAAAUAGUUAAUGACACCAAUGGUUGCGUUAGUGUCGGCAAUUUCAUAAACUUGAUUAGUUGACCCCGGGGCGGGCAACUAAAGACACUAAUGGGGGUCAUUAGUGUUGGCAGUAAUCUUCCCAAUGUGGGGAGAAGUGGCAGGGUGAAUACCCUAAAUCAGAGCUUGGAUUUCAUAAAAAAAAAAAAAGGCAAACAUAGUUAAAGGAAACAAAUUUGCUAAUCCUUAAAAGGGGCUAGUUAUGGUGUAUAAAAUUGCAUAUGACUUAAGUAGGUAGAUGUGUUGUAUGAUUUUUCUUCCGUGAAAUUGUUUGUAUCUUAUUUUUUUAAUUAUAUGGAAAAUUUAUGUUUUGCAGGUCCCUCCCAUUCACGCCAGGAAUAGAAUUUAGGUUCCUUGAUCCCAUUUUCUAUAAGUUAGGAACUUAGAGAUUAUUCAUGUAAUUUUGUUAUGCAGUAAACAUCUAAUCUCUAUAGAAUAGUAUACUCAUAUUUUUUUUUGGAAUAUUAAAUGUAUCAAUCUAUGCUUGGGAUAUUAUAAUGUACUAGCUUAUGUUUAGAAUGUUAAAUUGUGUUGUGUAUAUAUAUAUAUAUAUAUAUAUAUGAAAUUUCAGUGUUCGAAUGGUUCUCUUAAUUAUUAACUUAUGCAUGUGAUAUGAGAUGGAGAUUGGGCUUGCAGAUUUGUCCUGAGCAUAUUCUCGAAUGAAUUAAAUGGUUGAUUGUACCAAUUAUAUAUGUGAUUAUGGGUGGGAUGUGAUUAUAAAUGUGUGUAGGGUAAAUUGUCGAUAACUUGGGACCUCCCGGUAUAGGGGAGACUGCCGAAAUUUUGUUAGAAAUUUCGAUGAACUCAAUGAAAUUUUUUUUUGCUCCAUUUAUCCUUUAUGUGGAAGAUAAACGGAUAAACUAAUUUAAUAAUUGGGGUUGUUAUAGUUGGUAUCAGAGCCUUUGGUUGAAAUUUCAGGGAUUGAAAUACUGAUGUGAUUUUGGAAACAUGUUGUAGGAUGGCUCGUACAUGACAGGAAGUGAGAGCAGACCCGUACCCUGUGCAGGGGAGAGAGUGUGGCUCAUUAUAUGGGAACGAAAACGAAAGGGAUCCACUGAUGGACACAACCUCCCACCAACCUGCAGCGUCGGCCUAUUCAGAUAGGGGAGAAUUAGGGGGGCAUCAGGAUGACCCUACCUCUUAUCGAGCAGAAGUGUUACUGCCUGGAGCAGCGAAUGGCUAAGGAACAGAAGACAGGCCACCACCAGUGGCACCGACGGUCACCCCAAAUCCAUAUUCGGACCCCACAUUUCCGGAGCAAGUGGUUAAGGCAGUAGCAGCAGGGAUGGCCACAAGUGCAUCCAAUUCCACUCCUCGGGCAGAAAGAAUAGUCACCCUGGUUCAAUGGGUGAAUGGCAUGCGGGAAAUGGGUUGCACGACCUAUUUAGGGGAAGAAAAAGCCGAAGUAGCAGGACAUUGGUUAAGGAAGGUAGAAAGGAUCAUAGAUCAGAUGCAAGUGCCAGAGGAAACUCGAGUAAACUGUGUGACCUAGCUGUUAAUGGAGAGUGCCCACUCCUGAUGGGAGACUAUUAGAGAAAGAAUGGCAGGAGAAGAAUUGAGGUGGAAACACUUUCGAGAAGAGUUUGAGGAGCGGUCCUACUCCUAGCAGCACCGGAAGGAGAAAGAACAGGAGUUCCUGGAUCUGAAACAGGGGAAUAUAACCGUUCUAGAGUAUGAGAGGAGGUUUUAGGACUUAUCUAUCUUUGUCACCACCUAUCUUUCCACUAAGCAUCAUCGGGUGGAAUGGUUUCGGGAAGGGCUCAGGCAGGAGUUGAAAUUAAUUUUGGUGGCUAUGCAGUUUCAGUCGGUCCGAGAGUUAGUGCAAGCUGCUCAGGGUAUGGAAAGAGUAAUGAAUGACACCCCAAGGUCAACAAGUGAGCAGAGUCAGACUAUGGGAUUCAAAAGAAGGGACUUCAUAUCUCCUAUAGGGAGGAAUCCUCAUCUAAAAAAAGGAAAUAGCGGGUCAUCAUUUGGGUUAUUUCUAAGAAGAGGGGGGAGUUUUGUUCAUGGUGGGAGUUCAGGAGAUGCUAGACACGCUAAUGUUGGGGGAUCCGUAUAAGGUCAGGCCCGCUAGGGGACAAGUGUUAUAGGGGGUCCAUGGAGCAGAGGGGACAUGUCUACUCGUUAUGCAUGAGAUGUAACCAGAAACACCCGAGGAUUGUUCAGCCACACCAGGAAGAUGCUAUGUUUGUAGAAGGGAAGGCAUCAAUGGAGGGACUGCAAGUAUUUGGGAAGAGGUUGUUUCCAUUAUGGGGAAACGGGUCACAGAAAGAAAGAAUGUCCGCAUAGAGCCACUGAAGUAGUGCAGAGACAAGAGAGGGCUACCCAAAGCCAGCAAUAGUUAGUGACAGUUGAUCAGCCUAUACGACCUACUCAGUCGGGGACAAGUGCCAAUAAAGGCCGACCUAGGUUCCAGGAGGAAAGGACGCGGGGCAAGAUAUACCACAUGACUCAGGAAGAUGUGGGGGCAAUGCCAGAUGUCGUAGCAGGUACACUACAAUUGGGUUUAAUACAAGUUUAUGCUUUAAUUGAUCAUAGAGCCAGUCAUUCUUUUGUGGCCCAUCGAAUUAUCAGUAAUUUAAAUGUGUUACCAAGUAGAUUAAAUGUGGGAAUGGUAGUUAGUACACCUUCGGGGAAAAAUAUAAACAUUGAUGAGAUAUACAAGGGAGUGAUACUAUACAUUGAGGGGGUAAAGCUAAGGGUGGACCUCAUGCCUUUAGAAUUAUAUGAUUUUGACUUGAUUCUAGGAAUGGGUUGGUUGAGUAGAUAUAGGGCACAAUAGAUUGUUUCAUAAAGACUGUAAACCUCUAAGAUAUGAGUGGCAAAAGGGUAGUAUUCAAGGGAGAGAGGAGGGUGAUUCUAAACUCCAUAAUCUCGGUCAUGACGACUAGAAAAUUGAUUAGAAAGGGAUGUCAUGCUUGGUUGUCUCAUGUAAGAGAAUUAAAGACGGGAAGCAUAGAAUUAACAAAUAUCCCUAUUGUAAAAGAAUUUUUAGACGUGUUUUGGGAGGAGUUACCGGGGCUACCUCCAAUUAGGGAGAUUAAGGUUUCCAUUGAGACUCUUCCGGGGUUCAACCCUAUAGCACAAUCCCUUAUAGAAUGGCCCAUAUAGAACUAGCUGAACUGAAGAUCCAACUUCAGGAGUUGCUGGACAAAGAGUUCAUACGGCCGAGCAAUUCACCUUGGAAAGCCCCAGUGUUAUUUGUAAAGAAAAAGGAUGGUACAUUCCGGCUUUGUAUCGAUUAUCGUCAACUGAACAAAGUGACGGUAAAGAACAAGUACUUGCUACCAUGGAUAGACGAUCUGUUUGAUCAGUUAAAGGGUGCGAGAGUAUUCUCGAAGAUAGAUCUGAGAUUGGGGUAUCAUCAAUUAAGAAUCAGAGAACAUGACAUAUAAAAGACUGCCUUUAGAACCCGUUAUGGCCAUUAUGAAUUCUUAGUGAUGCCUUUUGGGUUAACAAAUGCCCCGAUGGUAUUUAUGGACCUAAUGAAUCGAGUGUUUUGGCUUUAUUUAAAUAAAUGUGUGGUAGUGUUUAUUGAUGAUAUACUGGUAUAUUUGAGCUCUUAUUUGGAACACGAGAAGCAUUUGAGAAAAGUGUUGGAGAAAUUGAGAGAAAAUAAAUUGUAUGCAAAACUGGAUAAAUGUGAAUUCGAGCUUAAAGAGGUGAUAUUUUUGGGUCAUGUUAUUUUAGCGGGGGGAAUAUAUGUGGACCCAGGAAAAGUGGAGGCAGUUCUAAAGUGGGAGAAGCCCACAAAUGUGACUGAAAUCCAAAGCUUCUUAGGCCUCGCGGGAUAUUAUAGGAGGUUUAUCGAAGGGUUUUCUACAAUAGCAUCACCUCUGACCAAGCUGACUCGUAAAGAAGUAAGGUUUAUUUGGUCAAAAGAAUGCGAGGAGAGUUUUCAGGAGUUGAAAAGAAGGCUCAUAUCAGCCCCUGUUUUGGCCCUUCCUUCCGAAACAGAAGGGUUCAUGGUUUAUCGUGAUGCCUCGAGAAGGGGUUUGGGAUGUGUGUUAAUGCAGUAUGGAAAGGUGAUAGCCUAUGCUUCCAGACAGUUAAAGCCACAUGAAGUGAACUAUCCGGUGCACAACCUGGAACUUGCAACAAUACUAUUUGCCUUACGAGUAUAGAGACAUUAUUUGUAUGGAACACAAGUGCAGAUUUUCACCGACCAUAAGAGUUUGAAGUAUUUAAUGUCACAAAAAGUGUUAAACAUGCAAUAGAGGAGGUGGGUAGAGUUGAUAAAGGACUACGACUGCAUAAUUGACUACCAUCCUAGCAAAGCCAAUGUAGUGGCGGACGCUUUGAGUUGAAAAGGGAAAGCGGUGAUGGGUGAUACAGAAAUUUCAGAACAAGAGAACUUGAUGGAAUUGAAAAGGAUGGUAUUACAGUUAAGCAAGGGUCAUGAAGGGUCACUACUGGCUUAUAUAAAGAUCAUAUCAGUGCUACGAGAUAAAGUUCUAGAAUCUUAGUUAGCGGAUGAGGGUAUAGGAAAAAUCAAAGAAAAGAUAGAGCAAGGCAAAGAGUUAUCCCUUCAAGUUUUGCUAGGAGGGUUGGUGGCGAUGGGAAAACGGGUUUACGUACCUGAAAAUAAGGCCAUAAAGGGUGAAAUAUUGAAGGAAGCUCAUGAAUCUCGAUUUGCAACUCAUCCCGGGAGCACCAAGAUGUAUAGGAUCUCAAAGAGUAUUACUAGUAGCCAAAUAUGAAGAAGGAGAUAACAGAAUAUGUGUCAAGAUGUGGGAUAUAUCAAUGGGUGAAGAUAUAACACCAAAGGCCAGUAGGGGAAUUGCAACCGCUACCAAUUCCGAAAUGGAAAUGGGAAAAUAUAGCCAUGGACUUUGUAACCAGAUCACCAAAGGGGGAAAAAGGGCAAUAAUGCUAUAUGGGUGGUGGUAGAUUGACUAACGAAGUCGGCUCUGUGCUUGCCCACCAAAAUGACGGACCUCGUAGACAAGUUGGCCAAAUUAUACGUGAAUGAAGUGAUUAGACUACAUGGAGUGCCCUUGUCAAUUGUGUCAGAUCGAGACCCAAGAUUCACCUCAAGGUUAUGGCCAUGCUUACAACAAGCUUUAGGAACAGAGGUAAACCUGAGCAUGACAUUCCACCCCCAGACAGAUGGCCAAUAUGAAAGGACCAUCCAAACACUUGAAGACCUUCUAAGGUCAUGUGUGCUAGAGUUUGAGGGAAACUGGGAAGAUUUGUUGCCGUUGGUAGAGUUCAUGUAUAAUAAUAGUUACCAAUCUUCUAUUGGAAUGGCUCCAUAUGAAACCCUUUAUGGGAGGAAAUGUUGCACUCCGAUAUUCUGGGAUGAAAUUAGAGAAAGGAAACUCUUGGGUCCUGAAAUGGUACAAAUAACAACUAAUAAAGUAAGGGUGAUCAAGCAAAGAAUGAAGGAAGCCCAAGAUAGAGAGAAAAGUUAUUCAAAUACCCGGAGUAGACCUUUAAAAUUCCAAAUAGGGGAUAGAGUAUUCUUGAAAGUGGCACCAUGAAAGAGCAUCAUUCGGUUUGGAAUGAAAGGAAAGCUUGCUCUGAGGUACAUUGACCCAUUUAAGGUGAUAGCUAGGAUAGGGUCGAUUGCUUACCGCUUGAAGCUACCGGCACACCUAGAGAAGAUUCAUAAUGUGUUCCAUGUAUCACUAUUAUGGAAGGUGGAAGUGGAUCCUUCUCGAGUGUUACCUCCAGUUCCCGUUGAAGUAAGGGAAGAUUUGACACUCAAGACUAGGCCAGUCAAGAUUGUUGCACAUGUGCGGCGUCGCGGUGAAAACAUCCACCCUCAAAAUUUUAUCUGAUGUCUAAAAAUGUAUUUAUGUGGCAAAUGUGGGGAGACAAGGAAUUCUUGUCUUUUAUUAGUAGAAAAAUGGAAUGGGAGCUGCCACCUAGUAUUUUGGUCACUAGGAACCCUAACUGGUCUCAGAGAUCGGGUACGGGGACUGGUUGCAUAAAAGGAAGGUAUUAGCACCCCAAAUACGCCCUACCUAAGGUAGGCUGUAUUGUUUUAUUGUCUGAUAAAAUCUAAGGUCUUGUCGUGUUUUCUAGUUGUUGGUCCGUCUAUGGUUUAAGAAAAGUUAUCCUCGGUAAGGAGAUCCUUAUCUUAUCAUGUAAAACCUAACUGUUCUAACGUCAACAAAAGAGUUUAAUAUCCAGAAUACGUCGUACGUAUAAGGUCGUAACCCCAGAUAUUAAAAGAAAACAAAAUAAUUUUUUUGGAAUUUUUGAAAUAUUGACCUAGUUCUCAUGAUUUUAAUAAACUGGUUAUUAAAGCCAAAAUGCAUGCUAAUACAUAUUUUUGAAAUUUUCUUUGUUAUAUGAAAAUACAAUAUGAUUUUUUUUAGAGACUUGGCCGUAUGCAUGAAAACAAAACAUUUUAUUUUAUUUUUAUUUUUUUAUUUUUUUAGUUAUUUUAUUUUUACGAAAACCAAGUAUUUUAAUACUGGAUUUGUAUCUUUACAGUAUAAAAAUACAAACCAAUAUUUCAAAAUGCAAUAAAACAUUUGCGGAAAAUCACAUGUUUUUGAAAAGAAUUUUUUUUAAGAAUUUUUUUUUCGGGCUGGGUUCAACCUGGCCUAUGUUGCUGGGCUGGACCUAGCCACCUGGUCACUGGCCCAAGCGAGUGACCCACCCAAGCCAUGCACGCGUAAAAUUUUACGUGUGCAUAGAACAGUGCAAAGGUAAUUAAAUUACCUUCGCAUUGUUCAUUCUUCGUUUUUUGCAGAUAGCAAAGGACAAAGACCCCAGGUUACAGAGUGCAAAAAUGGCGAUCUUUAAGCUUUUCUUUGGUCUUCUGUUUUCCUUUUGUUUAUCUAGACAAGCAUGCAUCAAUUUUUACGAAGAAAGGAAAUGAGCAUACCUGGAGAAAGGAAAGCGAUGGUGGUGCUGACCUCCCCUGCUGUCUGUGAGCUUUGCUCCGCCGCUCGGUUUCUCCUUGCUUUUCUGUUUCUAUCUCUUCGUGCAACCUUCCUUUGCGUUUCAAUCUCCUGGUUUUGAGAAGACGAAGACGAUGGUGGUGCUAUGUUCUCUGCUUCACCGUGUCCUCUGCUUCCGUUCGGUUUGCUUUUUUUUCUCCUUCCUCUUUCUCUCCCUUAUGCCUUCUCAGUAUUUCUCCACUCCCUCAGUUUUUUAACGAUCUCCUAAGUUGUCUCCCUCCUGUUUUUUCUCCUCGCUGUCACCUCUCCUCUCUCGUUUCUUUUCUCUCCUUUUUUUUAUGUCCCCUGGUGUUCGGCUCCUCCUCUGGCUUUUAUAGCGAGAGGACGCAGGCGUUUAUGGUAAGCGGGCGUGAAUCAUGGUGGCGAGGGAUGUCAGCCGCGAUUUGCGCCCCUUGAUUUGAAAAUGGCUCCAUUAUUGCUGCUAACGUCUCCUGCCCUUUACUGUCACAGACUCACAACUGUUGAAGACAGUGAAUAGCGCUUCAAUGUAAACGGUCAUUGAAUUUUUUGCAAUUUUGUAAUCAAACCCCCGACAAAAUUGUAAUUGGAUCCCUUAAUUUUGGCGCCUUUUCUGGUUUGGUCCUUGGUUUUGGAUUGUGUCAAUUAAGUCCCUAAUUGGUCAUCAAACUUCAAUAAUUAUGCAAUUAAAACCCUGAUUUGGCCAAAUCAACUCUUUAAAAUUAUAAUUGGACCUCAGAACUUUAAUUUCUUCCAAUAAAAGCCUAAAUUGACUUAAAAAUCAAUUUUUCUUGCAAUCAAACCCUCCAUAAUUUCAAUUAAAUCUUAGAUAAAAUUUAAUUGAGUCCAUUAACAUCUGAUUUUGAAUAUAUUUUUUUCAAAAUUGAAUUUUCUUUGUCAACAGGACUCUCAGCACUUAACGAUAAACUGUCAAAUUUCAACCUUUUACAUUUUUGAACCUCUUCAACCAAUUUUUGGCUAUUUUUCAGCAUUCCAGCAUCCUUUUCUCGCUCUUAUAAUUUAUUUGGAUUUCUUCCGUAUAUAUAUCAUUUUUGUGUGGGAACCAAAAAAUGGGUAACAACAGAUGCCCCCUCUUUACAAUGCUUACGAAGCAAAACAUCAUCAAUGUCUUGCAUAUUAAGCUUGUAAAGAAAAAGAAAAAGAAAAAGAAAAUGAUCUCAUUAUCUAGGGCGACCUGCCCCUUUUGAAGAAAAUUGGUCUACUUUCACGGGCGACCUGCCCACUCACACUCACUGGUCUAUUUUCACGGGCGACCUGCCCACACAUGUUCAUCCUGAUCUAUUUUCAGGGGUGACCGACCCACACACUUAUAUUGGUCUAUUUUCAUGGACGACCUACCCACACAUUUUCAUCCUGGUCUAUUUUCAGGGGCGACCGACCCACACACUCACACAGUCUAUUUUCAUGGGCGACCUGCCCUCACACUCACAUUGGUCUAUUUUCAGGGGCAACCUACCCGUACAUGUUCAUCCUGGUCUAUUUUCAGGGGCGACCGACCCACAAACUCACAUGGUCUAUUUUCAUGGGAGACCUGCCCCCACACUCACAUUGGUUUAUUUUCACAUGCGACCUACCCACACAUGUUCAUCCUGGUUUAUUUUCAGGGGCGACCGGCCCACGCGUGUUCAUCCUAGUCUAUUUUCAGGGGCGACCAGCCCACAUACUCACACGGUCUAUUUUCAUGGGCGACCUGCCUACACACUUACAUUGAUCUAUUUUCACGGGCGACCUACCCACACAUGGUGGUCUGUUUUCAGGGGCGACUAACCACACACUCACACUGGUCUAUUUUCAUGGGCGACCUGCCCACACAUACUCACUUUGGUCUAUUUUCAAGGGCGACCUGCCCUUUUGAUUCGGUUUACCUAAGAUCCCAUCUGGCAAUUUAGAACCAAAAUCUGUGUGGUUGGGCUAAAUUGAGAUGCCUUCUGGCGAUUCCCUUUAACCAGAACCAAAAUCUGUGUUCUUCCUGUUGGCAAGGUUUGAACUUGCUUUUUUUCUUAUUGUUUUUUUUUUGAAAAUUUCCUAAUGGUAGGGUUCUUCUCAUUUUUCUUCCCGUUCCAAGGUCACAACAAUGAUUCUCUUUUAUUAUAAGCUCAAUGAUUCUUUAUUCUUUUUUUUUCUUUUUUUCUUUCAAUCUUGCUGGACUUUUUUUUUGAGGAUUUUCCUGUAACGAAUAAAAAUAUGUGUGCAAUGCUUUGAGGUUAGAUGACAUGCAUGCAUCCUUACCUGAUUUGAAAUAUAGGUCCCCCCCUUUUGAUGUUCCAUCAUCAUAGGGUGCCUUUGUUUGCUAACCAAAGCCUUCUUUGCUCUUUCCAUGUACUGGCCCGUUCAUGUGCUAGUCAUCCACUCCACUGUAAAUGCAAUGCCUAUCCUAGGUUGUCUUCGAUGAUUACCGGUUUCACUGUUUAUCAAGCUUGACAAUGCCCCCCAAGUGUGGUGUUGCUUAAUUCAUCAUGAAGGAGCUUAACAAAUCAUUCAUCUCCUGGAUUCUCUUGAGAAUCGUUCUUUGAUUAGCUGUGUAAAUCCUACCAGCACUCCUCAAGAGGUUUUCUAGUGUCGCCCUCAUCUUAGAUUGCUAAUCAGCCAUUGACUUGCCUCCAGUGCUCGUUCAUCUGAUUAUCUUUCUUUGAACACCAUUGUCCUCAGUUUCACUAAUUCAUCAUUUAGUCAUUUUUUUUAUUGCCCCUAGCUGAUCUGAAUACUAGUUUUCCUUCUCAAAGUCCACUGUAUUGCCCCCGGCUACUCAACUUUUCAAGAAGUAUCGAGAAGUAUUGAUGUCACUUCUGUUAAGGAUUUUGCAAACUCGAUUGAUGCUCUUCUUGUUUGACAAUCUUUUGUUCGGGAAUCAACUCUCAAUAUUUCAAAGAUCAUGUCUAUUUAAAGUCUAAUUUUUGAAAUGAAAUUAAAGAGAUGUCAGUUUCUUUUUAAGUAUUUUUUAAAUUCAAGCUUCUUUGGUCAAAGGCCCAACACACGUCAUUCAAUACAUGUAGUCCUUUGAUUAUCUUAUAUUUUGAAAACAAAAAUUGACCCGUCAAAAGAUUAAAAUGGCUUUUUCCAUGGUUCUUUGUGUAAAUUUUAAUAUCUGAUCUUGGGUAUAUCUUUUGAUGGUUUGUGAUGAGGUGACCUUCUGUGAAUUUCAAGAAACAAGAUGCUCAAGUCAGAACUCGAGCUUUUAUCAAGAAAGGUGGUUUUUUUUUAGCAUUUAUUUUUUUAGCAUGCAUUACAAGUAGCUUAAUCCAUGAAACCACGACCCUCAUGAAAAAACUCUUCAAGCUUUGAGAGCGCCAUUUAUCGGUUCAAAUUGCUUACUUGAUCGAAAAGGGCUUUUAAAAGCACGUAAUGUAGGCUAUGGUUAAUGGCUAUGAAAGAAAGGAAUUUUACAGGCUCAAAAGGAGUUUAAAGGUUUCAAAAACCUAGGAUCAACAUCAACUAUUCAUCAUUUCUCUCUUUAUCUUGUUGUCUUUAUAGAGAAAACGACAUAUAACCUUAUUGACCUCAAAUAUCAGAAUUCUCUUAACAUAUGUCAUAAUGCAAAUCUAACUUUUUCUUUGAUGAAUAACCAAUCUCAAUCAUCUGAUAACAUCAAGAGCUUUAUCAUGGAUUCAAAAGUCAUGUUUGUAGCCUAGUAUUUUUUUUUGGUAUCGACUUUUGACAUUUGUUGUGAAACUUCUUUUAUCUUUCCUAGACUCAAUAAGCAUUUUCCUUCCUUUAUCUUUGACCUGUCUUUAAGUGUAGGCAAUUUUCAUGGUUUUUUUUAUAUAUAUAUGGCUUUCACAUAGCCUUUCUCACAGUUUUUUAAUAUGCCCCCAGUCUAGGUCUUCUUUCUUUUAGCUCUCUCUUAAACAUUGGACUUUUGUUCUAAGCCUUCCCUUUCACUUUUGUCUUCUCUUAUUUGCCCCCAGUGUGGGGUGUGAUCCUAGUCAGAAUAUUCUAUCAGGUUCAAAAUGGGAUUGCAAAGGAUAAAUAUCUUUAGAAAGUGAUGGGAUAUCAAAGAUGACCUUUUCUCAUUUCAAGCAAGGUCGAUUAGAACUGAUAAAUUUUAACCUCAUCUAGUGUAGUGAUUUGGACUUGUAAGAAUCAUUAUUCACAAGUCCAUAACUACCGAAUCCACUACGUGUCAUUAUGCAUACUGCUAAAACUUAGCUACAUGGUGGGUGAUUCAGUUUCAUGUGAGCUCAAAAUUUGUUUGGGCACCCCAUAUCAUUUUAACAAGCAUCGAGUCAUUUUUGCAAUCAAAAUACUUUUAAUCUUUCAGGAUUGAUUAGCCUUAAUUGCAUGUUGAGUUCGAUCAAAAUAUUUUUCCAAAAUAAACUUUGAAAGAAACAUCUCGUUAUUUUGAAACAACAAAGAGACAAAUAAAAAGACAUGUUUCGUUAAAAAGAUGAGAUGUGAUCCCAAAACAAAAUGCAAAAUAGCAAAAUUCCAAUAUAAUUGACAAUUCAUUGCCAUUCUUAGAUUAGCUUUUCUGACAAUAUAUGUGUUUUGCCAAACAUUUUUAAUCACUUGUCAUUCUAAAGAUGUUCGGGGGAUAAUAUAGCCAAUGACAUCACCUUUCACACACUCAACUUGCCUCUUGUUCAUCCACCUUCAUAGUCAUCUUUCAUUAUUAUUCUGGAAUUCAUAGCAGAACCUUCAAUCUUUCCCCUCUUCAUAGCUUGUUCAAUUCUUUUAGCAAUCCUCACGACUUUAUGGAAAUGUUGAGCUGAGCUUCCUAUUAAAUGCUCAUAAUAAGGGGAUUGAAAGGUGUUGGCAAACAACAUCACCGUUUCUGUAUCUAUUAGUGGAGGUUGAACAUAUGUUGCCUUAUCUCACCAUCUUUGCGUGUAUGUCCUCACAGACUGUUGGUUUUCCUUCUCCAUAACCAUUAGAAUGGUUCUGUUAGGAGCAAUUUCCAGAUUAAAUUUAUACUGCUUCAAAAAGGCGUCUACCAAGUCUUUCCAUGUCUUGAUCUUAAUAUUGUCUAGUCUCAUGUACCAACUCAGAGCAGAUUCGGUGAGACUAUCUUGGAAAAAGUAUAUCAGCAUCCUAUCAUCAUAAAUCACCUCGGCCAUUUUAUUGCAUUAAGAUCGAAGGUGAGUGUUUGGACAUUCUAAUCCAGUGUAUUUGAUGAACUUUGGUAUCCUAAAGUUCUUUGGUACUGUCGUACCCUCUCGAGAGCUCGACGUCGAGGCGACCCUUCCUGGUAGCAGGGAUUGAUGUCGGGGUCUUUGUUUUGUGAAAAAAGGAGUCGCCACCUAGUAUUAUGGUCACUAGGAAACCUAACUGGUCUUUCAGAGAUUCUAAGGCAAAUGACUGGUUGCGUAAAGGGAAGGUUUUAGCACCCCUAGUACGCCCUACCUAAGAUAAGCUGCUUGGUGUUUGGUUUGCCUAUAAUUUCUAUGGUGUUGAUGUUCUCUAAUCCUGUCAGUUUCCUAUGAUAAGUCUGCUAUGAUGAACGAACUUGGGUUUAAAGUCUAAGGGAAAGAACCUUUGGCCAAUAUGGAUUAUACCUUUAGAUAUGUUUGUAGAGUGCCAAAGAGAAACGAUGCAAAUCUCUUGAAGUCUAUGCUUGAUUUGAAAUAAAUUUAGAAUUUAUUAAUUUAGAGACAACUAAAAUAGAAAUCUAAGGAGAUUCAAUGUGCUUAAGAGCUCAUUUUCCCCUUAGUAUUUCAAGUAGUCGCGACUCGUAAAUCGCAAGGAAGAGAAAAGAAAAAAAACUAAGUUAGAAAUCUAAGAAAAUUCAAGGUGCUUCAAAAGCCUAUUUUUGCCUUAGUAUUUCAUAUUUUCAUGACUCGGAAUCAAAAUUUGAAAUGUCCUCAAUUAUAAUUGAGGCUUCUUUCAAGGAUAUGUAAUUAAAUUGUUCUAAAUAAAAUUUUAGGCAUAAAUCUGCCCUUAUGUUAAAAAUAAACAAGUUGUAUUCCUAUUAACAAUAUUUUGGACAUUUUCCUUUCAUAGGUUUAUUUGCCCUUAUAUUAUUAAGGGAUAAUGACUUGUUAUUCCUAGAAAAAUAUUUUUGAUAUUUAUCACUUGUGGUUUCUUUAUCCAAAUAUUAACAGUGAACAAUGGCGAAUUAUUCCCAAUAAAAUUUUGAAUAUUAACCCCUUUAAGAUUUCUUUAUCCAAACAUUUGUAAUGAAUAAUAACAAAUUAUUCCUAAUAAUAUUUUGGAUAUUAACCCCUUUUGGAUUUCUUUAUCCAAAUAUUAAUAGUGAAUAAUAACAAAUUAUUCCUAAUAAUAUUUUGGAUAUUUAUCCUAUUUUAGAUUUCUUUAUCCAAACAUUAAUAGUGAAUAAAGAUGAAUUCCCAAAAAUAAGAUUUUUAUAUUUUUGGAAUAUUGGCCAACACCCUUUGGAAUUUACAAACACGUUGUAAAAUUCAAGAUGCAAGAAAAUAAUUUUUAUGUUUAAAAAAUCCAUGUUAAAACAUAUUUUUUUGAAACCUCGAAUAUUUGCUUUUUUGAAUUUUUUUUUUAAUAUGUUAGGGUAUUGGCCGUAUACAACACACGAGGAAAAUUUUAUGUUUCUUCAAAACACAAACAACACAGUUAAAUCAAGUAUCACAAUUAAAAAAACAAGCCGUACACAUCUAUAUUUCAAAAUUCAUUGGAAGCUUAAAACAAUUCAAAUCAAGCAAAGCCUGAUAUAGCAACUUAAAAUUGAAUCCUGAAUAUAAGUCUGUCCGUUAGUCUUAAAAGAGAAACACCGAUCCGCAUGCACAAAAAAACAAAGUUGAACUCAAAGCCUUACACAGAAACAGAAACAGCAACCGGGUCUAGCGCCUAUCAUCUUUUCCUAAUCUUUGACGUUGCCAUGCUAGUUUCAUGCAAGAGGCAAGAAACCUGGGAAGCAUGCCUCUAUACCCCGUAUAUUCAAAACUGAACUAGAUAAUAAAAAACAACUGGCCUACUAAAUCACCUUCAAAGAAAGAAAGAGAAAAACGACCAACACAGAAACUGCCUAAAAGAACCCCUCAAUUGCAGAGGAACCCCUCUUGCGUUUUUCUUUAUAGAUAAACUAAAUCUAUGUGGAAGGCAUUCCUAAUACACAUCCCAGUCAAAGAGGCACUGAGCCGAGGAGGGGAAGGAUGGUGAAGGCCUUUAAAACUCACGGUCCCUCAUGGCAAAAGAACCAGAAAAGAAAUAUGCAGCUUUAACCAAGGUUGUUAAAAUCGCGAUUUUAACACGGCACGGAAAGCUGCACACAAACUCGGAUCGUAAAAACGGAUCGUAAAAUCGUAAAAUCGUAAGGAAUUUUAAAAUACAUUAAAAAAAAAUUCAUACUUCAAAUAAAAAUUCAUACAUUUAUCAAUCACCUUAAAAAAAAAAAAAGGAAACACGCCGUUAAUGAUUAAUCCACAAGCAAAUUACUAUUUAAAUAUCUUCCUAAUUGUAGAAUAAUAACAAAGUCUGUAUUUUUUUCUCAAAAUACACACCACUCCAUCACCACCAGAAAUCACAGUCUUCCUGUCACUAACCCACAAAACUCUCAAUACAUAUACUAAGCAAAAAGCCAAACUAAACCAAACCAUCUUUAGAACUCCCAAAAGAAACCCUCUCCCAUCCUGCCGUUUCCCUUCCUUCCCACAAUCCCUCCUCCCAGUUACCAAAGUAGGCAUGGCCUCGGGCUCACUUGCUUUCCUGCAGAUCGCCAAGAACAAUGUCAUCAAAGAAAUCCCAUCUCCCAACGCCUGAUGAACCCUUAAAAUAGCACACUUUUGCUCCAACAAGACAUGGAUUUCCCAUGAAGGCUUGUUUAUGUUCAGUGGAAUACUAACUGAUAAAUCGGCUAAAUAGGCAGUCGGUGAGAGACCCAUUCACAGAGACACAGACCCAUCAAAAAAUAAGAAUUCAAGCAGUCGAUGAGAGACCCAUGAGAGACCCAUUCACAGACUUGUUUUCGGUGAGCAACCCAUUCACAUACCCAUCAAUUCUUAAAAAUUCAAACAGUUGUGUAAAUACUGGGAUUCGGUGAGAGACCCAUGACACAGGGGACAUGGACAUGUCUGUAAUUUGACAAAUAAAUUACUCUAGACUCUAAAUCAUGAUGCUAUUUGCAGAAGGUGCAAAAAGAUAAAGAGAAUAACUUACUAUGGCUGGUGGAGACUGGUCACUGGAGAGCCGGUUGUUGCCUGUUGGUGGUGGACCGAUGGUUGAUUGCUGGAACUUGGACGGCUGAGAGAAGGAGAACAAGGAUUUAGUGACUUAGGGAUUUUGAUUUUUUCCGGUUCUGUGUUGUUAACAUGUGUGAAAGACUGAAAAAAGAUGAAGAAAGAUGAAGAAUUGAAGAUUGUGGUUUUGUUCUGCGUGUGGGUCACACGGUGUGACUCACAGUGUACCGUGUAUUGACUCAAUAGGCCAAUACUUGCUUGGCACGUGGAGCUGGGGGAACAGUGGCGCAACAUUUUCUGUUUUGGCACAGACGCGUAAAAUCGUGGGUAAAAUCGCGGGUAAAAUCGCGUUUUUGCGCGAUUUUACCCGAUUUUAACGAUUUUACUCGAUUUUGACCCGAUUUUACCUAUUUCCGAGUUUUGUGAACGAUUUAGCACGUUUAGCCUAUAUUGACUCGUAAAAUCAUACGAUUUUACGAGUUGAAUCGCGAUUUUAACAACCUUGGCUUUAACAUAAGCAAAAGGAAACCAACUCAGAGCUAUGGAUGGAACAAUGGGUAAACAUACCAUCUUUUGUCCCAACAGAAAACAAACGUCUAGAGCAAAGGAAACAAACAGUUCUGAAGCAUAAGAAAACACAUAUGCACAGGUUUGAAUAUAGAAGGAAAAACAAGGGGGGGGGGGACCUGCGUGUUUGCCCUUGAUGACCCGAAGAAAACCUUCCUCCUUUACCAUUAGGAACUUUUUUUAAAAUUCUUUUUCGGCAGGGUAGAAAUAGUUUGAAGUUAACCCCCCCUCCCCUUUCGUUGUUUCCUUCUAUUUUCUACUCAAACUUCUUCUUGUUCUCUCGGUUCUCUAUUUUCCCUUUCCCUUCUGUUUUCCCCUUUUCCUCUGUCCCUAUCUUUUCUCUACUUGUUUUAAUUCGCUCCGUCUCCCUCUACUCUCUGCUUUAUCUCUCUGUUUUUCCUCUCUCAGCCUUCCCUCUCUUUUGUGUCUCUGCACUCUCUUUUCUUUCUUCCCUACUGUUUUCUUUCCCUCUCCCUCUUUUCGUUUUUUCUCCCUCCAUUCGCUCACUUAACAACUUGCUUAUAUAACCAAGCAAGAAAUUUGGAGACCAGCCCCACCCCCUCUCAUCCUAGCCGUAUGUAUUAGGGAUAAAAUCCCAGCCCUUAGAUAGUGUGAGGCUCCCCUCUUUGUCUUCUUUCACAGCUAGUUGUGAACGUACAGAGCCAUUCCCUUGCUGAAUCCGUUUUCGUUGCAGCUGCAGAACUGACGAUGCAAACGGGAAUAUCUUGAGCUUCUGAUAUCGAAAUCAAGCAAUUCAAAAACCAAAAUUCAUCUACGCGUAUAAGACUAUAACUUUCAUGAAGGAUUAAGAAUGAGAUAAAUUCAUUUUGAAUUACAGAAACUGGCUGCAACCUGGUUGGUAAAAAAGGAUCUCCUGAUCUAAUUCAGGAAACUGACGAUGCCAAGCAUCCUACUUUGACUGAGAGUCUGCCAUAAGAAUAGCAAGCCCUAGGACCCAAUAAAGGUGUAGGUAAAUUCUUCAACAUGUCAUGAGUGACAGAAUAUAGCCGGGAUGGUCGGAUAUUACACGAAACCAAAUCAGAAUCAAAGCCUUAGUUGGAAGAAAAAAUUGCGACAACAGCAGAAUCAGUUUUUUAGUACAACUUCUAAGGGAUUUAUCCAACCUUAGAGACCAGAUAAAAAAGGAAUGAAUUUAUCAUUUUAAAGACUCCUAAUUAGCUUAAGAAUCCUGACAAUUUCGAAAGCAAAGGGAAAGGAUAAGGAGAGCAAAUGCCAGCUGAAACAUGGUUCUAAAAACAUUUCCUUCUCCUUUGUUUUUGUCAAUCUCUUAGCAACCUUGAACUAAACUCCUGCCUUCAAUUUAAAGGGGAUAUACACCAUCUCCAUUAGCACGUAUGGCUAAAAAAAAAAAGAGUAACAACAGGUACUAUGAUGUUUGGUACCAAACACACUUCAGCUGCUUGCAUGAGAUCAAACCAAUCAUUACCCUCAACUGCUCUUAAUCUUUCUUUCAAAGCAGAUAGCUUGUCGUAGUUCAUAAAAUCAGUGGAUCUAUUGCCAAAUACGCCCCAAAUACACCCUACCUAAAGUAGGCUGCAUUGUUUUAUUGUCUGAUAAAAUCUAAGGUCCUGUCGUGUUUUCUAGUUGUUGGUCGUCUACGGUUAAAGAAAAGUCAUUCUCGGUAAGGAUAUCCUUAUCUUAUCGAGUAAAACCUAAUUGUUCUGACGUCAACAAAAAAAUUUAAUAUCCAGAAUACAUCGUACGUAUAAGGUCGUAACCCCAGAUAUUAAAAGAAAACAAAAUAUUUUUUUUGGAAUUUUUGAAAUAUUGGCCUACUUCUCGUGACUUUAAUAAAAUGGUUAUUAAAGCCAAAAUGCAUGCUAAUAUAUAUUUUUGAAAUUUUCUUUGUUAUAUAAAAAUACAAUAUGAUUUUUUUUAGAGACUUGGCCGUAUGCAUGAAAACAAAACAUUUUAUUUUAUUUUUAUUUUUUUAUUAUUUUAUUUUUACGAAAACCAAGUAUUUUAAUACUGGAUUUGUAUCUUUACAGUAUAAAAAUACAAACUAAUAUUUUAAAAUGCAAUAAAAAAUUUGCGGAAAAUCACAUGUUUUUGAAAAGAAUUUUUUUUUCGGGCUGGGUUCAACCUGGCCUAUGUUGCUGGGCUGGACCUAGCCACCUGGUCACUGGCCCAAGCCAGUGACCCACCCAAGCGCGUAAAAUUUUACGCGUGCAUAGAACAGUGCAAAGGUAAUUAAAUUACCUUCGCACUGUUCAUUCUUCGUUUUUGCAGAUAGCAAAGGACAAAGACCCCAGGUGCAAAAAUGGUGAUCUUUAAGCUUUUCUUUCGUCUUCUGUUUUCCUUUUGUUUCUAUAGACAAGCAUGCAUCAAUUUUUACGAAGAAAGGAAAUGAGCAUACCUGGAGAAAGGAAACCGAUGGUGGUGCUGACCUCCCCUGCUGUCUGUGAGCUUUGCUCCGCCGCUCGGUUUCUCCUUGCGCUUCUGUUUCUGUCUCUUCGUGCAGCCUUCCUUUGCGUUUCAAUCUCCUAGUUUUGAGAAGACGAAGACGAUGGUGGUGCUGUGUUCUCUGCUUCACCGAGUCCUCUGCUUCCGUUCGGUUUGCUUCUUUUUCUCCUUCCUCUUUCUCUCCCUUAUGCUUUCUCACUAUUUCUCCAUUCCCUCACUUUUUUAACAAUCUCCUAAGCUGUCUCCCUCCUGUUUUUUCUCCUCACCGUCACCUCUCCUCUCUCGUUUCUUUUCUCUCCUUUUUUUUUGUCCCCUGGUGUUCGGCUCCUCCUCUGGCUUUCAUAGCGAGAGGACGCAGGCGUUUAUGGUAAGCCGGUGUGCAUCACGGUGGCGAGGGAUGUCAGCCGCGAUACGCGCCCCUUGAUUUGAAAAUGGCUCCAUUAUCACUGCUAACAUCUCCUGCCUUAACUGUCAUAGACUCACAUAUGUUGAAGACAAUGAAUAGCGCUUCAAUGUAAACGGCGCCGUUUGGAUUCUUCUGAUUUGGUCAUUGAAGUUUUUGCAAUUUUGUAAUCAAACCCCCGACAAAAUUGUAUUUGGAUCCCUUAAUUUUGGUGCCUUUUUUGGUUUGGUCCUAGGUUUCGGAUUGUGUCAAUUAAGUCCCUAAUUGGCCAUCAAACUUCAAUAAUUAUGCAAUUAAACUCCUGAUUUGACCAAAUCAACUCUUGAAAAUUAUAAUUGGACCUCAGAACUUUAAUUUCUUCCAAUAAAACCCUAAAUUGACUUAAAAAUCAAUUUUUCUUGCAAUCAAACCCUCCAUGAAUUCAAUUAAAUCUUAGAUAAAAUUUAAUUGAGUCCAUUAACAUCUGAUUUUGAAUAUAUUUUUUUCAAAAUUGAAUUUUCUUUGUCAACAGGACUCUCAUCACUUAAUGAUAAACUGUCAAAUUUCAACCUUUUGCAUUUUUGAACCUCUUCAACCAAUUUUUGGCUAUUUUUCAGCAUUUCAGCAUCCUUUUUUCGCUCCUAUUAUUUUUUUGGAUUUCUUCCGAAUAUAUAUAUCUAUUUUUUAUAUAUAUAUUUUUCAUUUUUGUUUGGGAACCCAAAAAUGGGUAACAACAAAGAUCAUGGAUUGGGGUGAAAAAACAUUGAGAAAUAAGAGAAUACCACUGGUCAGAGUGUUAUGGAGGAACUCACAAAUAGAGGGGGGGGAGAAUUUUAUAUUUUUCCUUCAUCAAAUCUAAGAAUAAACACCCAAAUUAGUAUACCCGCACAAGCCUUGGAAUUAUUAAGUGGAGGAAACACAUUUGGGUGGAGAAUUAACAAGAAGAAAAGUGAAGAAUUGGUGAAGAAAAGAGGGAGAAGAGUGGCCGGCUAUAUGCAAGGAGAAGAAGGCUAAGAUUCUUUUUAAAUUUUGUGAAGUAAAGCUUAGUUUUCAUCCAAAUAAGGAGUUCUAAUUUCAAUUUCUAUGAAAUUAACUUCAAUUUGAUUGGAAGUUUCAUAAUUUUCUUGAAUUGAGAAUUAGGGUUCUUGAACAUAAAAUUUAGGGAAAAUGCAAAAUUUCUUGAAACUAUACCUAUUAGGGUGAUAGUAAUGGCCUUGAAUGUGGAGGGGCGCAAUGGAAGGAAAAAAAGAAGAAGAAAGAACAUAUUUAAGGACCGGCCACUAGAGGGGAAGAAAAACAGAGGAGGAGAGCUUUUGACUUCCUUGUUAAUUAAUUGAGAUCUGUUGUUAUAAUGUAGUUACUAAUUAUAACUUGUAAGGAAGAUGAACCUUUGUUCCUUUGGGUAGGUUCGGCCAAAGUAGAAAUCAACUAAUUAACUUAUUAUAAAUGACCUUGGGAGGUCAUAACGAGACAGGUUACCAUGCAUAAGGUGAAGGCAUGGCUGUAUCUGAUGAGGAAGUAAGAUUGGAGAUAAAAUUGGAAAUACUUGUCCAUUGAUGAAAACAGGGCAGGUUCGUUGCCUUGAUUCAUGAGGAAUUCAACAUGAGANNNNNNNNNNNNNNNNNNNNNNNNNNNNNNNNNNNNNNNNNNNNNNNNNNNNNNNNNNNNNNNNNNNNNNNNNNNNNNNNNNNNNNNNNNNNNNNNNNNNUGAAGGGAGGUCGAGCUAUCAGCCCUGCUAGCAGAUUCGGCCAAUCGAUAAAACGACGAAAUUUAGCCAUAUUAAGAGUAUAAUUCAUUUUCUUGCCCUUCGUAAAGUGUGUAACAUCGUGUCUUGAUCUUCAAAAAGGAAUAAAUUGUGAUCAAAAUUGAAUUCAUGAUGUCCACUUGGGCUACGAAUGAGUUGAAAAUGUUAAAGGAUAAUAAUAAGGAAUGUAGGUGAGAAAGAAAAGAAUGGUAAAAGAGAAAUGAAUAUCAUUGCCAUUGUUGCUGUUGUGUUGUGACAUGUGGACUAAUAUGGAAUAAUGAUGGGUGUCUGUGGUUUCAGGAGGAACCGCGGGAGGAGUGCAGCAACAACAGGGGAACGCAAGUCGAGCGUCUACAACAGGUAGGUACUCGGUACCUAUAUCUCCUCUAGUUAAUAAUUGUUAUAACUAUUUGUUGAACUAUAAAUUUUGGUGCUUAUUGAUGAGGAAAAGAAAAGGGGAAAAGGAAAGGUUAAACAAUAGGAAAAUGGAAACGAAGAACUAGAUUUAAUUUAUGGGUUCUUUCGGAGAAAAUGGACAGUAACAAUGAACUUUAGGAAUGACUGUUCGGUGAAUUUGAUUAGGCUGUCCUAGAUACGAGAGGCUAAUGAUGUUAGCCAAGUUGGCUAACAUCGGCAUGACCGGUACAUGGGAGGAGGAAUAUAGAACUUGAUUAACUAUUUGGGUUCAAAAUGGUUAAUGAUAUCGGCAGGUGACGUCGAUGUCGGUAAAAUUUAUGGGACUUGAUUAGCUUUCCGAGGUGAAAGCUAAUGAUGUCAAGAAUCCUUGACAUCAACAUACCCGAGGACCUCCCAAGGUAACAUGGAACAUUGAUUAACUAUUUAGGCCCGAAAAUAGUUAAUGACACCAAUGGUUACGUUAGUGUCGGCAAUUUCAUAAACUUGAUUAGUUGACCGCGGGGCGGGCAACUAAAGACACUAAUAAGGGUCAUUAGUGUCGGCAGUAGUCUUCCCAAUGUGGGGAGAAGUGGUAGGGUGAAUACCCUAAAUCAAAGCUUGGAUUUCAUAAAGAAAAAAAGAAAAAGAAAAAGGGAAACAUAGUUAAAGGAAACAAAUUUGCUAAUCCUUAAAAAGGGCUAGUUGUGGUGUAUAAAAUUGCAUAUGACUUAAGUAGGUAGAUGUGUUGUAUGAUUUUUCUUCCGUGAAAUUGUUUGUAUCUUAUUUUUUUAAUUAUAUGAAAAAAUUAUGUUUUGCAGGUCCCUCUCAUUCACGCCAGGAAUAUAAUUUAGGUUCCUUGAUCCCUUUUUCUAUAAGUUAGGAACUUAGAGAUUAUUCAUGUAAUUUUGUUAUGCAGUAAACAUGUAAUCUCUAUAGAAUAAUAUACUCAUAUUAUUUUGUUUUUGAAGUAUUAAAUGUAUCAAUCUAUGCUUGAGAUAUUAUAAUGUACUAGCUUAUGUUUAGAAUGCUAAACUGUGUUGUUUAUAUAUAUAUAUAUAUAUAUAUAUAUAUAUAUAUAUAUGAAAUUUCAAUGUUCGAAUGGUUCUCUUAAUUAUUAACUUAUGCAUGUGAUAUGAGAUGGAGAUUGAGCUUGUAGAUUUGUCCUGAGUAUAUUCUUGAAUGAAUUAAAUGGUUGAUUGUACCAAUUAUAGAUGUGAUUAUGGAUGGGAUGUGAUUAUAAAUGUGUGUAGGGUAAAUUGUCGAUAACUUGGGACUUCCUGGUAUAGGGGAGCUGCCGAAAUUUCAUUAGAAAUUUCAGUGAACUCAAUGAAAUUUUAUUUUUUUUACUCCGUUUAUCCUUUAUGUGAAAGAUAAACUAAUUUAAUAAUUGGGGUUGUUAUAUUUCAAGUCCAAGUGCUUUAAGUUUGGCAUGUUUGCUUAACAAAAAACAAUAAAUUUAAUAGGAGAUAAAAGGUAUAAUCAUAAGAAAAAUAAAAGGUGAAAAGUGUAUGGUUUUCAAAACACAUGGACAGUGUAGUGAGUCUAAUGACACUAAAAAUAGAGGAUGGUGGGAAUAAUUAACGCUAGUUAAUUUAAUCGUUAUUUCUGUCAAGUUAUAAAAAUAUUUUAAAAAUGGAUAAUGUUAGAGAUAAUCUUGAGAUGUCUUCCUAGUGUGAUCAAAUAUUGGAUCUUGUCAUUUGAAGUCUUGAAUAAUUUGCCUUUGUAUCCUUUUAUGUGCAGGCACCCCACAAGGUGUUGGCCCUGUUGUGCAGAUCUUAUCGAUGUGCACUUCAAUGUUGAGAAAAGCAAAAGGCCUGGAAGUUGCUGAGCAUCCUCACAUCCCAUCUAGUGGCACGAAACAUCAGUAAAGGGGCGUUUGAUGCUAGGAUUUUUAAGAUUAUACGGAGAAAGUGAUUCGAGAGGUCAAGUAUUUUUAUGUUUGGUUGAAUUCUUGGGAAUCUCUAAUGCCCUAGGACGCUGGAAAUGUGAUUCUCUUCUAAAAUAAGCAGAGUUUGAGAUGUCAGCUUUCAACUUUUUGACUUAUUAAAUGCAUCCAAACUUUAUGUUAAAUUGCCUAGCAUGUUUUAUGUUUUUUCUACUCCAAUAAUAACCCAGUUUAGGUAACUAGUUUAUAUUAAUUUUCUAUGAAAUCACAAUAUAUAUGUAAUGUAAUGUGUUGAUAAAUAUAUUAUUCUACUUGAUAGCUAUAAUUUUAUAAAAUUAAAUUAUCUAUUGAAUUUACUUUAAUGUUUUAGUUUUAGACUUGAGUAACGUGAUCAGCAUUAAGAAAGACAAUUAAAUAUCUUAUGAUUAAAUUAUAUAAUUUAAUUUUCAAAGAUAAAAUGAUAAAUUUACUCAUAUUCUCCACAUUUUUUUCUAUUUAACUGAACACAAAUACAUUGAUUAAAAUUUUUAUUUUAAAUUAAAUAGAAAUAUCAUAUUCUCAACAAUCACAUCUUCCAAAAACAUUAAACUCAACUAGUCCUAAGUUGAUAAAUCACUAGUUUAAUGCCGGCUUUUGGGUUUUUUGGUUUUUUUUAUUAAUAUGGGUGUUCGAGUCAGCUUGCGCGUACCUCGACAAAUCUCACGGGUCUUAAAGUUAACGACCACGUAAGCUUUUAGUGAUUCUGAAAGGACUCGUGACUAUUAAAAAAUAAAUCCAAAGCUACCCUUAUGGAUUUCAGUAUUUAUAACAAUGGAUGAAAGUCCUUGCAAUUACUUGAAGGCACUCUAGUUAAUGUGCCUUUAUUUUCGGCACCUAAAAAGCUAAAAUGCAAGUGCAUAGAGUUUCAUGGGUGCAGUGUUCCACAGGUGAGCCUGAGUGAAUCAAUGCUGAAUAAAUGAUACAGAGAAUGAAAUGGCCCUGUGAGGAAAUAUGUCACAUCACAGCAUGCUUGUUCUUUGAGCAAUCAAUUCCUCGAGGCUACUCAAAGCACCAGUUAAAUGUUGGGCACGAAACAAUCACACACAUGAUUUAUUUUGAGUGCAUAUGGAAAUUACAGCAACCAUUACAGUAACUCACCACAAGAACAUCUCAUUCAAAUAAUCAAAACCCCACAGGAGCAUGCAAGCUUUGAACAUACGAAUGCACACACUUGAAUUCUUUAUCUCUUCAGCAAAGACAACAGGAAGGAAACCAAGCAAGCGAACUAGACUUUUGAAAGAAGUCGUAAAUGUGCUUACUGAUCUCUUCAGGUUUCUCUUCAUUGAUAAAAUGACCCACACCUUCCAUUACAACUAGGUCCUGUAGAAAUGGAACGUCUCUUUUGAACCCGCCCUUGGCUAUAUAAUCCUUGGCACCGAGAGAAUUAUAGGUGAGGUCCUGAUCACCCACGAUAAACUUGACUGGAACUUUUAUUUGAGCUCCAGUCCAUGGUGCGGUAAGUUCCCAGUUCC
rnacentral:lncRNA from 1 species